GACGUAGGUGGCAAGCGUUGGGAGGAUUUAAGGGGUGUAAAGGGAGCGUAGGCGGAUACUUAAGUGGGAUGUGAAAUACCUGGGCUUAACUUGGGUGCUGCAUUCCAAACUGGGUGUCUAGAGUGUUGGAGAGGAAAGUGGAAUUCCUAGUGUAGCGGUGAAAUGCGUAGAGAUUAGGAAGAACACCAGUGGCGAAGGCGACUUUCUGGACAAUAACUGACGCUGAGGCUCGAAAGCGUGGGGAGCAAACAGGAUUAGAUACCCUGGUAGUCCACGCCGUAAACGAUGGGUACUAGGUGUAGGAGGUAUCGACUCCUCCUGUGCCGCCGUUAACACAAUAAGUACCCCGCCUGGGGAGUACGGUCGCAAGAUUAAA
rnacentral:rRNA from 1 species